AUUAUGGAUUUGAUUGAUGGAGGUGCAUUACCACGGAAUUCAUUUGCCAUGAGGUAAAUAAUGAAAAUUGAACACUAAUUUUUAUAUCUAAGCAUGUAUGAAUCAUAUGUAACUCACUUAUGCUUUUGGACGUGAAGGUGGAGAGAUGCUUUCUCAAUAAUAGAAAUAUCCACCCAUGUUUUGAUGACAUAUUGGUAUCAACUC
rnacentral:lncRNA from 1 species